rnacentral:lncRNA from 1 species
CUCUUUCCCCCAAUUCUCGCUAUUUUACUUUAUUAUCAUUAGCUCCUUUUUACGCAAAACCUUUGCCCGACUGAAAGUACACAACCGAGUCCACGACUCCCUUGAGCAGUACGGCCUUUUAGUUACAUCGCUGGCCAAUCAGCACGCUUCCUUGCUUCCAUGUGGCUGACUGACCAAUCACAGCGCCACUAGACGCGCAAAUAGUGUUUUCGGCUCUUCUCGGUGCGUUUCAUAGUUCGUUUUGGACCCUUGUCUCGACCUAAAUCAGGGCUGGGGGAGGGGGUGCGGGAAUGGGGGUGGGUGGGUUGUGGUGUAUGCGUGUGUGUGCGUUUGUGUACUCCCUUGUUUAAGCUACUUCCGGGUCCGGAAUCGCUCCGGAAGCCCCAGGUUCCGGAAGUAUAGCCCUCGGGGAGCUGAGGUCGGCCUUAUGGGGGAGGGGGUAUUGGGGGAGGGGGAAGCAUCCACCAAAUGUUUCCGAGAAAGUCCGCCUGGACCGUGGUUUCUCCCACAUCAUUGCUGCCGGCGUCGGCUCUUUGGUGUCCGCGCGUGUGCGUGCAGUGAUUGACAGCCGGCCGGCCAAUCGUCUGGUCCUUUCUCGCUCGGGGCGUUGCCCGUUUGGGGCCCCAGCCCGCGAGCUCCGGCCUGCGUGGUUACGCCCGCCGACCGGCUUCCUGCGUUCCAGAUUCAUCCUGAUGUUCUAAUCUGUGGUAUUCCAGUGAUACAGCCAAAAUGUGGAUGCUUAUCUAUUGAAUACCAGUACAGUGCCAUAUUACAGCAGACCAAGCCAGAGUCACUGUCCUUCAGAUUAUGUGAGUAUAUGUGCCUCAUAUUUCUCUGCUUCUAAAUCAGUACCCUAACUAUGUAAGGGACUAUAAUUUGAGGAAAAGGGUAGGCUAGAUAAGGGAAAAGACUCCCUACCUCAUCAUUUUGGUGAUUUGUAAUAUUCCUGACACUUGUUCUCUUUUUUACCCCAUACCAGUGACCCUAUAGUUCCCUACAUUUCUGAAUAACAGUUGUGCUAUAACUUUCAAUAUUCCCUUGAAAAUUUUCCCCAUAUAUAAUUCGUACCUAUUAGUAUUUUAGUGAUAAUAUUACUAUGUUUAUUUGGAUUGUUUUUUGAAAAGAAUUGAUUUCCCCUUGUCAGUUUUCACAGUAGCAUGAUAGGAUAAAUAGGCAUUCACCUCUCUUAUCCCUGCCACUUGCCUUUAUCAAUGAAAAGGAUAGUGAUUAAAAAUUACAUUGUUCAUUUAAAAAUAUAAAUGUGGAAAAAUGCCAGAGCUACAAAUUAAACUCUAGUCUUGAUUCACUACCCAGUGAAAAGUUAUAGUUUGCAGUUAUUAGUCUAAUGAUAAACUUUCCCAUUAAUCAACUUAAAGGUAAUUUGGAAAGUAGCCUUAAUUUUAAUUUUUUUAUAGUAAUGGUUAAAGUGUCUGGCGAAAAGUUUAUGGGACACUUCUGCCUUGGAAGUGGUUUGUUGAAAAAGGAUACAGCCGGAGCAGCUAGCUGGUACGCUAGAUAGAGCACCUGGCCCUGGAUUCAGGAGGACCUGAGUUCAAAUCCGGCCUCAGACACAUAAUACUUACUAGCUGUGUGACCGUGGGCAAGUCACUUAACCCCAUUGUCUAGCAAAAAUGAGAAAAAAGAAUACAGCCAACUAAGAGUGAGUGUGUGUGUGUGUGUGUGUGUGUGUGUGUGUACAUAUAAUGCAUAUAUAUAGAAUAUAAAUAUAAUAUAUGAGAUAGAAGAAAGAAUAUAGUUAUAAUGAAGACAUUAUAGUAACUACGUUGCUAUAGUAUAUUUUUGCAUUGUUUAAAGCUAUAGUUUUUGUCCUGAGUGUCCUAAACAUGAAUAUCAUGCUUUUACAAAAUUUAAGCAUUAAUAAAUUAGAGUGUGUUGACUUAUUUGUUUGUUUU